rnacentral:rRNA from 1 species
CGUAGGGUGCGAGCGUUAAUCGGAAUUACUGGGCGUAAAGUGUGCGCAGGCGGCGCUGCAAGUCGAGUGUGAAAUCCCCGAGCUUAACUUGGGAAUUGCGCUCGAAACUACGGCGCUGGAGUAUGGCAGAGGAAGGUGGAAUUCCACGUGUAGCGGUGAAAUGCGUAGAGAUGUGGAGGAACACCGAUGGCGAAGGCAGCCUUCUGGGCCAAUACUGACGCUCAUGCACGAAAGCGUGGGGAGCAAACAGGAUUAGAUACCCUGGUAGUCCACGCCCUAAACGAUGAUGACUAGUUGUUGGAGGAGUUAAAUCCUUUAGUAACGCAGCUAACGCGUGAAGUCAUCCGCCUGGGGAUACGGUCGCAAGAUUA